AUUGAACGCUGGCGGCAGGCCUAACACAUGCAAGUCGAGCGAGCGGCGGACGGGUGAGUAAUGUAUGGGGACUGCCCGAUAGAGGGGGAUAACUACUGGAAACGGUAGCUAAUACCGCAUACGAUCGGAUAACCCAUAUGGGAGUAGCAAGUAGGUGAGGUAAUGGCUCACCUAUGCGACGAUCCCUAGCUGGUCUGAGAGGCUGAUCAGCAACACUCGGACGCAGACACGGCCCAGACUCCUACGGAGGCAGCAGUGUGUAAUAUUGCACAAUUGGCGCAAGCCUGAUGCAUCCAUGCCGCGUGUAUGAAGAAGGCCCUAGGGUUUUAAAGUACUUUCAGUCGGGAGGCGUUACCGACAGAAGAAGCACCGGCUAACUCCGUGCCAGCAGCCGCGGUAAUUC
rnacentral:rRNA from 1 species